AUUCUUUUGUAGUUCACAAGCAUGAUUGUGUGUUCCUGUGCAUGUGUGAGAUGUCACCCUUGUGAAUCUUGAUACGACGUUGGCACGUUACCCAUCUCACA
ensembl:snoRNA